rnacentral:rRNA from 1 species
ACAGCAGUAGCCACGGGAAUACGGAGGAUCCAAGCGUUAUCCGGAAUCAUUGGGUUUAAAGGGUCCGUAGGCGGUUUAGUAAGUCAGUGGUGAAAGCCCAUCGCUCAACGGUGGAACGGCCAUUGAUACUGCUGAACUUGAAUUAUUAGGAAGUAACUAGAAUAUGUAGUGUAGCGGUGAAAUGCUUAGAGAUUACAUGGAAUACCAAUUGCGAAGGCAGGUUACUACUAAUUGAUUGACGCUGAUGGACGAAAGCGUGGGGAGCGAACAGGAUUAGAGACCCCAGUAGUCCCUGUCUCUUAUAC